rnacentral:rRNA from 1 species
GUCUUUUAGAAAAUAAUUUAAAGUCUAACCUGCCCACUGAAUAAUUUUGAAGGGCCGCAGUAUUUUGACUGUGCAAAGGUAGCAUAAUCAUUAGUCUUUUAAUUGAAGGCUUGUAUGAAUGGUUGGAUGAAAUAUUAACUGUCUCAAAUUAAUAAAAUAGAAUUUAAUUUUUAAGUUAAAAAGCUUAAAUAAAAUUAGAGGACGAGAAGACCCUAUAGAUCUUUAUAUUUUUAUUUUUAAUUUUUAUUUAGAAUAAAAAAACAUUUUUAGUAAUAUUAAUAUUUUAUUGGGGUGAUAAUUAAAUUUAAUUAACUUUAUUUAAUAAAAACAUUAAUUUAUGAAUGAUUGAUCCAUUAUUAGUGAUUAGAAGAUUAAGUUACCUUAGGGAUAACAGCGUAAUUUUUUUAGAGAGUUCUUAUCGAUAAAAAAGUUUGCGACCUCGAUGUUGAAUUAAAGAUUAAUUUAGGUGCAGUAGUUUAAAUGUUUGGUCUGUUCGACCAUUAAAUC